UGGAGUUGUUUAUCGUUGGAGUGAGUUGACUCGGCAUUUGAAUCCGGAGAAUCGGAGGCAUUGAUGACCGGAGAAGCGGGAGAGUUGGGGUUUGAGAGGAAAUGUUCGAGGUCAAGGUUGUCGGCGGCAGGGAACCCCUUGCUCGAACGAAGCCGGUCCAGCCAGUUCGAACCGGUCUUAGCGGUCGUGAUAGAGCAGAGCAUUGGGUAACGUCAGAUUGAGCUGAGAAAACAUAAUUGA